CAGCUGCUUUUACCUGAAGCUGCAAGUUCACGGGGCCCAUCUGUUGCCGAUUAGAAGGAGGCCUCUGCCUUGUCUGUUUCUCUCAUUACCCGAAUCCUUGGUUUUCUAUCUUACUUUCUUUCACACCAGUUCUGUUACCUGCAUAAUUGUUCUCUUCAUAAAUCCUAACCAGCUUCGUAUCCAUGUGUACCGCUGCAUAAACUGUCUGUCCACUGUGUAGUAGUAUUUACAAUAGUAUUUGUAACCAGGGGCAUAGGCACAAAAUUCCAUCAAGUUUAUACAAUAUUCAUUUAUUCAGAAGAUAAGCAUAAUAUUAGAUAAGGAUAUGUGUUGUAAUUAAUCUGCCAUCAUACAGGGCUUUGUACAGAGUUAUGAGAAGGGAAACACUCUCUCUCACUCUCUCAUUUAUUGCUUAACUCUCUUAACUACACACCUGGCUGGUAAACAAGAGGUUAAAGCAUUUUCAUCCUAAAAUUUCAACUCUCCUUAGUUCUUCAUUGCACGUUCUCUCUCCCGCUUAUGUUUGUCUCUCUCUUCCUGACACUUUGUCCUUCAUCAGCACUUUGCACACUUCCCUUAUUCUCUGCUUCCCUCUUUCUCUCCACCUCCAUGCCCUAUAUGUCUCUCUCCUCCUCUUAGCAGCAGUCAACUAACUCUUUGUCUCUCCUGCCAUCCACCCUGUCUCUGACUCUCAGAGCAAAUCUCUCUCCUUGGCUGCUGUUCCAGUUGUGUGGGUUAAAUCCCAUGUGAAUCGAAUUCCUCUCUCUUCAUAUAACUUUUCUAAAGUUUUUCUGGGAUUCUGCCCAAGCACCUGCCUUUUCUUUCCAAAGUUUUACUUUCUUGUUCCCUUCUGAACUAAACCAGUUCUAAAUGAGUCUGUGAUUACUUCUCUGCAAUAAUGAUCUGAAGAUAAUCAGCUUGUGCGAAAACCCAGGAGACUUCUUGCAUCAUAGACCCCUCUUAAGGACAUUUCCCAUCCAGAAUAAUCUGAAAGUAUUUGCAAUGAAAGGCUGUGGCUGCCUCCGCCCGGAGACUGACUCAGAGUAUGAGGAGCCAAGUGAAAAUUCUAUAGAGGAAAACGAGAGGAAGCCAAAAAACAGCCAAGUGGAUGGAGAAGUGGUUCUGGCCACAGCAGCUGUGGGUGGAGCAAUUCGAGCACAAAGGAACCAACAGGAGCGAGAGGCAAAUAAAAGGAGGGAACUUGAGAAGAGAACAGAGAGUGAUAGAAGAGAGAGGGACCGGAAUGCAGAGCGGGAAAAAGAAAGGCGGCGGCAAAGAGAGAGACAGAGGAUUACUGAAAAGCAAAAACAGAGGCUGGCUGACAAAAACAAACAAAAGCGGGCAGAGAAACAGAGGCAAAAAAGGAGGAACAAAUAAAUUGCAUGUAUGCACAAACAUAUCAAUAGCUAUCAGAGUAUAGUAUUAUAGUAUUCGUAUAAACCUUGUCAUCUUUAUAUGAAAUAUAAAUGAAAGAGAAUUUGAAUAUUGCAAGGGGAAAAGAUGGAAAUUUGGGGCCAAACUUUUUUUUUACAAUGCCCAGACACAGUCCCAGCUGGCCCCCUCAUGCAGCAAUACUCUUUGGGUACUGCAGGUUAGUACAGAUUUGCCAGAAGGGUGUUAAAUGCAUAGCUGAGAUUGUGGCCUUUACUCCAUGGGGGUCGUUACGGAAGGAGAAGGCAUUAUGCAAAGUGGGGAGCAAUCGACUGUUCUUUUGCACUUUGUUAACUGCCUUCUUCCUUUCCCGAAUGGCCAAAACAGUGAAUAAAGCAUUUUAGCACAUGUGCCCCAGGGAAUGAAAACUUACCCUUUACGUCUUUUGGCAGUUUAGCAAAAACUCUGCUUUCAAGCCAAUGUUAUAUAUUAUAUGCACUGCAAUUUCCAGCUUGUACCUUAGAUUCUGAGUGGGGUUACAUUCACUAGUCUAAUAAAAACAGUGAAAUAUAUUUUUUUUAAUUUGUGGAUCUUUCUGUUAUUGCAUUGUAUCAUUGUAUUUUUGUGAAUCCUUGCCUCAGCAGUUACUCUUUAAUACAGGUAUUGGCUCCCUAAUUUAUAGUUGAUUGCUGAGUGGCGAAAAGAGAAAAAAUUCAUACUGAUUGAAUCCCAUUUUCACCUCUGGAACUUUCCAGUCCAUAUGUAUGCCUAUAUUGCUCAAAGGCCAACCAAGCAGCCUCUGAGCUUUGAGGAUGAAUACCUAGAAAAUUAACCUGUGUGGCAAAGGUUUUAUCUCAGCUUGAACCUGUUGAACAUUUAUACAUACACUGAGAAGAGCAGGGACAGUUGGGAAAAGUAAUCAUAUUGUAUCAUAUUGUUUCUCCAUUGCCUUGCUCCUUCUGCUAAUGAUAGAAAAUAAGGACUCUAAGGCAUAUAUUUAGUAUUUAGAUUGCUACUAACCAGCAUAAAAACAUCCUUGGUUUUCUAUAUUUAAUGCUGAAUAGAUCCUUCAAAUUAAGUAACUCACUGUACACUUUUCCUCAGAUGAUCUCCAUUCAAAUUGAUCUUCCUUCUAUUGGAUAUGAAGUGAGGAUAUCGUAAUAAAAGGAACAAAGUUUGCCCAGUAGCAGUAACCCAUAGCAACCAGUAAAUUCUGCUGAUUGGCUGCUAUGGGUUUCUGCUCCUGGGCCAACUUAGUGACUUUUAUUACAUAACCCCCAAAGAGACAUAGAACUAAUGGUGGGGUCUGUGAGAGUGGACAAGCCUUUCUCCUGCUGUCCAACACUGCUCUAGGGAAUCAGACAUAGUAAUAUCCAAAACAAGUAAGUGUGAUGCUCUGGUAUGGAGGAGAAAAGGCCCACCAGCCAGUCUGUCAGUAGAUCUGAUAUAUUUUCUGCACGUAUAAAAGCUCCUAUAAUUAGUGAAUUAAAUAAAAUCAUGAAAAAUACCGCUUAACAGAGCUCCUAAAUUCUACUCAGGUAUCACUGGUUGUCACUUAUACCUGCAAUACAGGUGCACAUCUGAUAACCUGACAGCUACAUUUGACUAACUAAAACCACACAGUACCUCUCAGCAGGCAAGACUCAAUGUUAUUUAGUUAUGCCCUGACACUAUGGCCAGCAUAAGGAGCAAAAUAAGCAGCAAUCCCAGGAAUGUUCUUGUGAAGAAACAAUACUUAACAUUUCAGCCACUGAAGCCUACAAGUGUAAACUGUUUACACCUCAGCUAAAUACCUUUUCUUUGCAAGAUAUAUUCUUAUUCCUCUGCCUCAUCUGUAACUAUUGUUGUAUAAACCACAUUACUACUGGCCAUUGCUGCAAAAUAUAUUUUA